rnacentral:rRNA from 1 species
GACGAACGCUGGCGGCGUGCUUAACACAUGCAAGUCGAACGGAAAGGCCCUGCUUUUGUGGGGUGCUCGAGUGGCGAACGGGUGAGUAACACGUGAGUAACCUGCCCUUGACUUUGGGAUAACUUCAGGAAACUGGGGCUAAUACCGGAUAGGAGCUCCUGCUGCAUGGUGGGGGUUGGAAAGUUUCGGCGGUUGGUAUGGACUCGCGGCUUAUCAGCUUGUUGGUGGGGUAGUGGCUUACCAAGGCUUUGACGGGUAGCCGGCCUGAGAGGGUGACCGGCCACAUUGGGACUGAGAUACGGCCCAGACUCCUACGGGAGGCAGCAGUGGGGAAUAUUGCACAAUGGGCGGAAGCCUGAUGCAGCAACGCCGCGUGCGGGAUGACGGCCUUCGGGUUGUAAACCGCUUUCGCCUGUGACGAAGCGUGAGUGACGGUAAUGGGUAAAGAAGCACCGGCUAACUACGUG